CCUGGACCAGAUGUUCCAGCUGAGAGAUUACCAUCACAUCAGUCCUCAGUGAGGAGCCCAGGUCUUGCUCAUGCUCUCCUGUGUCACUGUCUCCCCCCUCCUCUUUUCUUUACCCUCCUUAUUUUAUCUCUUUACCUUUCCCACCUGCCGCGUUUCAGCUCCAACGUUUUUCCUACUCGAUCCAUCUCCUUUUCUUUCCACUGUCCUCAUGCUUUUCUUUCCUCUUUCUUUAUUUUCCUCCCUCCUUUUACACCCUGCAUCCUUAGUGCAUGAAGUUGUUGUGGCCCCUCCCUCUUUUGGGUGAAAGCAGUCAAUCUGAAUCAAUUGCCAGCAAAUGUAAGCUCAGAUCUAACAGCCAGUAAAGCAAACACAUAAAUCCAGACUUUUUUGAUGGGCGAUAAAAAAUCAGCUGAAGAAGAUACACCAUUGACCCCCACAUUACAGCCCUGUGUGGUACCAGAUAUUGUAAAUGAGAAAGAUGAUUUUAAAAGUGACACUCAGACUCAGGUAAGACAGUUAAGUUACACACACGAGUAAAGUGAUAUCAGUUUAUGACACCUUUGGUCACAAGAUGGGGUUGUUUGUCCAGUUUGAUUGCAGCAGACUGGGAGAAAACGGUCAAAUUUGAAACUUCUUUUAAAUGUUUUUCGACAAACAUUUAUCAACCAUUAGAUUUAGAAUCUCAUUGGCCGUUAAAUGACAUGAUUUUCCUGUUCUAGGCUAAAGAGUCGCCGUUUAACUCUAUUUGUUUGGAUUGACUGCUCUCACACAAAAGGGGUGUGAUCAGAUUUGCAAGCAGGAAGUGAUGUUUGACUGCUCUCAUCCACUGAAAUACAGUUCAGAUAAAUAAUCUGUAAUUGUUUCCCCAGAUGAAGGAAAUAGCCAAUCAGAGUUUAGGAAUCUCAGGUGGCCAGAAUCAAGGGGGUCAAUGCCACUCUUCUGGACAGGCCCCUUCUUCUUCCUUUAUCUAUUCACUUUUUCUCCUUUCUUUGUCUCCCCUCCUCUUGUCCUCUUUCUUAUUUUUAUUUUCUCUUUAUCUCCCAUCACCCCCUUCCCUUCUCUUCCUCUGUCACCUCUCCUUAUCCACUUUCCUUUUCUCUCCUCUGCUUAAUUUUAACCUUCCUUAUCAGUUUCUCCUCCCUGCUCCAAAAGUUGAGUAUCACCCCUUUUCCCUCUUUCCCUUUCUCCUAGCUCUCUCCCUCUAUCAUAACUCUCUCUUACCCUCUUUUCUCAUUUAACUCACCUCUCCUAUCCACUCUUCUACCCUACUUUACUACCUUUUUGUCUUGUACUCUUUAUUCUAUUUUUCUGUUUUUCUCCCCUUCCUCAACGCCUCCUCUCUUCUCUUCCCCUUGCAUCCUUUCUUAUCUCUUCCUCCUCUCCACAUUGGCCUUCUCUCCUCACUUUACUGUCCUCUAAUCUCCCCCUUUUCCUCCCUCUUGCUUUUAUCGUAUUUACCUCACCUCCUCCCUGUUUUCUUCCCUUUAUCUCUCCCACUCUCCUCUGCCCUCCCCUCCUCUCUCCUCCUCACCACCAGGCACAGAUAACAACUGAGGGCUGUCUUUGGUCAAACACAGCGCACGCUGUUCUCCUCCCUCCUCCUCGCCCUCCUCCUCGCCCUCCUCUCCGCUGUUAUCAGUCUCAGUCAUGGAGGUCUCGCUCUAAUGAAAUUCCCUCGCUGAUCACACUGACGGAUCUGAAAGCAGCAUUUGUUUGGAGACCACAUCUGGGAAGAAGCUGAGGGAGAGAAAAGGGAAAACAGCUGUAAUCUGAUUAUAAAAAAUGUUACCUGUAAUCUGCUCCAAUCUGGAAUAUGUUACUCAGACAGAAACAAUCAGCAGGUUUCAGAUCAUUUGAUUAGAAUGACGAAGCAAAUAGUUGAAAUUCAGAG